GGAUCCAUAGCUCAGCGGUAGAGCAUCUGAUUCCAGCUUGAGACUUUACAAAUCCUGAGUAAUUCUACUCUAACCUAGUAAAGUAAUCCUCAACUGCCUCCAGAAGGUCAUCCGUUCAAAUCGGGUUGGGUUCA